rnacentral:rRNA from 1 species
UGUUCCUACGGGGGGCAGCAGUGAGGAAUAUUGGUCAAUGGGCGGGAGCCUGAACCAGCCAAGUCGCGUGAGGGAAGACGGUCCUACGGAUUGUAAACCUCUUUUGCCGGGGAGCAACGGGGUCCUUGCGAGGUCCCAAUGAGAGUACCCGGAGAAAAAGCAUCGGCUAACUCCGUGCCAGCAGCCGCGGUAAUACGGAGGAUGCGAGCGUUAUCCGGAUUUAUUGGGCGUAAAGCGAGUGCAGGCGGUUCAAUAAGUCUGUUGUGAAAGCCUU